GCCCUGUUGUCAAUAUGGGCUCUCAAACAGGAUUAGCCUGUUAUCCCUAAGGUAGCUUUUUCUAUUAAUCAUAUAUUUGGAUCAAGAGUAAUUUUUAAGAGAGGUUUUAGUUUCUCUCUAGUUGCCCCAACUAAAUUUUCUUUAUAAUAAUUAUAGUUUAAAAUAAAGCUCUAUAGGGUCUUUUCGUCUUUUUAGGUAAUUCAAGUUUCUUCACUUGAAGAUCAAUUUUUAUGUAUAUAUAAGAGACAGUGUUGCACUCGUAGAUUCGUUCAUUCCAGCCAUCAAUUAAACGGCAAGUGAUUAUGC
rnacentral:rRNA from 1 species